GCCGGGGUGGCGGAAUAGGGAGACGCGCAUGAUUCAGGGUCAUGUGCCCGCAAGGGCGUGCGGGUUCAAGUCCCGCCCCCGGCACCA
rnacentral:tRNA from 1 species